UUGGGAUCUACAGGGGUGAAGAAGGAAAAUGGACUUUAAAGAUCAUGUGAACUGGUUCGACAUUUAUAAAGGGUGUAAUGAAUAUGCUGUCAUUCUGUACUGGUGAUACUGACACAAAACACUGCAGGAGGAGGAUGACAGAGGAUUAGCCUCCUGCACUUUCUCCACUGCCUUUGUGAUCUCAGCUUUCAGAGCCUCUGUUUCAUCCGCAGAUACAGAUGUUGCAACAGGCACCACUGCAUCGGGUUUGGCAUUUGUGGGGUCGUAUGUUGUCAUGAUGGCGGAUGUGAUUGGCCAGUUGGCUGGACUGCACAAACCUGUAUGUUAUAACGUCACAAUUACACAG